AUUUAUACAAGGUAAUUCAAAGCACUUGAAGGGGCAUAGAAAUACAUUUAAAACAAGACAUUAAGAAAACAUUAAAACAGCAUUUAGAGACAAUAAAUAGCUAAAAAUGAGGAAAAAUGCAUUUUAAAAAAAAUUGAGAAAUGCAAGCAAAUAAAUAGUUACAAAUGGAAAAGGUGUAUCCAGUUUACUGGAAAGCCACAGUGAACAAUCAUGUUUUAAGCCCUGAUUUAAUUGAGUUAACCAUCUUAGCAGACUUCAGGUAUUCAGGAAGUUUCCUCUACAGGUGGGGAGCAUAGAAAUUAAAAGCUGCUUCACCUUGCUUGGUUUAGCAUUAGCAAAAAAUUAAGAAAACUGAAAAACAGCACAGAAACAAUGUGAUCAAUCUCAUAUGUCAACCUGCUCUUCUGGUUUUAAUCAACCCAAACAUAAAGCUGGAUGGCUUCAGCUCCAAAAAACAAUUGGAUUUAAUUUUAGCUACUAAUCUGCACAUUAAUCCAUUCAGUAACAGUAUUGAGCUCAAAACUUAUGUAGAUUCUCUCUCAGCUCUACUUAAAAGUGGUCAUUUCUUCUUCACUGGAUUACCUGCUGCAGACCUGUCACCUUAACUGCCCCCUCGUCAGAGCAGAACAGAGUGUUGACAUAUCACUAGUGGAAAACACCGACCAAUGCAACCAACUGUCACUGGGGAAAAGGCAAAGACUGGUUUUACAGUGCAGACACUGCAGAGCCAGUAAGACUGCUCUGGUUUCAAAGUACAUCCUACUUUCUAUGUAUAUACAUACUCAUGUGCGACCUUUAAAAAUCCCUUUGGAGCAGCACCUCUCUUUCCUUCCUAUCGCCUGCGGCUUCUUCCGCCCCUCCGUCUUAUUCUCUCGCCUUCCCUGUCUAAUUAUUUCAUGUCUGCAGGCUCAUACACAGACACUGAUAAAGCGGCACCAGUGAGAUCCCAACAAGCGUAGUGUGUGGGUGGAGAGCAGUUUACUUUCACUUGUGCUGUCCUGUUUUUAGGGAAAUCACUCCUUGAUGCUUUGAUGAGAAAGAAGCACUCUUUAUGAUUCUGAAGACACUAAACCUUCCAUGAUGUCCGGCCUGUGGCUGUGUUUGAGUCUGCUCUGUGCUGCUACUUUGCUACAAAGCAGUGCCUGGUCACAUGAAGUGAUGUGCAACAAGACAGCGAAAGUUGUAGCUGCACAAACAGUGACACUGAACUGCACUAUAGACAUCAAGAACUGCACAGGCAUACGCUAUCACUGGAAUAAUGCACAAGGUGACAUACAAUGUAGCAAUAGCUUGAAAUACAGAUGUGAAUGGGAUCGUCUGACUUAUGUGUCGUUGACCAUCUCAAAUGUCACGGAAGAGGAAAACUACACCAUUCGUAUACAGACAAACUGUGGUGUGACUAAACCAUCCACUACGGAAGUGCAAGUCAUCAAGUCCUCCAGCAUAGCCAAUGAAGGUGGGAAGCAAGAUGAAACAGAAACCAUGCCAAUACUCCUUCUUAUAUUGGGUAUUGUCAUUGUCCUCGCCGUCAUCGCUUUGGGCGUUCUGUAUUUGACAAGGAAAAGACGCCAGGAGACGACACUGACAAAGGACACUGGGCAGAGGAAAGGAGACUUGCUGAUUGUAUGACAAAUCAGAAUAAGUGCUUCAACAUAUGUGUGUAUGUGUGUGGUGGUGGGGGUGGAGAGGAGGGUUACAUUUUUUUUUUCUUCCAGAAUUCUUUGAGGUCUUUGUACAGAUUGAUCCAUGUAAAUACAAUGCUUUGAUUUUAAUAAAGGGGCACGUGUAGUUGUACUCCAACAGACCUGUAAACAGACUCUGUUGUGUAAAAUCAGUUCCCCUUUGAUUUUAGGAAAAUAACCUCUGAUGAUGUCAUGUUAUUAUAAAAGAUGCUGUUGAGUUGCAUUAUGGGAAAUGUAGGCUCCAGUAUUUUUGGAGUUUGGAGUAGGGAUUAAAGUCAAUCUGAUCUACUAUACAUGCAUUAAAUUUACGUGGUGGCACUACAGAAACAAUGCCAAUGAAAAGUCAUUACGAACCUCUGUUUUGGUGGACACACUAAUUCUGUGGUUCAACGUCAUGCAAUAGGUUGUGGUUAAUGUUACAGGAGUGGUUGAUGAGACAAAUGAAACACUAAUUUAAAGGACCAUGUUCCUGUCCUGUGUGAAACUAAAAAGACAAUAUUGACUUCUCUGCCUUAACUUGCUCAUAUCCUUUAUGUAGUUACAUCACGCUACAUGAUGCACUUAUAUCACUUUACAAGGUACUUGCGUCCCAUCAGUAACAAAUAUAGUUCAGUCAGGAGAGACUCAGUUUGAGAAAAAAUAAUAUUUAUUUACAUGUGCACACAAGUAUGAGAAAUGUGAAAAGUCUUUGGCAAUUAGACCCCUUUGUGAUGUCAUUUAUUCCAGGAGGGUGGUAGAGAUGUAGUAGUUUAGAGAUCCCCCCUCAUGGAGUCUUGACACUGGUGGUGGUGAUGAUGGUGAUGAGAUGAGGAGGUAGCUGAGGAUCUGGAUGUGAAGAGGUGUCGGAUUUUGAUGACCUUGUCCUGGGCUCUGGAUAAGGUGAAUAGGGUGAAUGGGGUGGAGGAGGGCAUGACCAUAAAAGCUGACAGGAGCAGGGAGGAGAACAGAUUUAAAGUUUGGCAGCAGCAACAUCAAUGGCUGAAGGAGAUCGUGGCAAAGUUUGAUUGGCCUACCAGGAGAGGAAACACCCAUAGUCAGCUGAUUGGUGGGAGUGGGAUGGAGAAAGAAUUGUGAAUGGAUAUAGCAUAAAGAAAGUCUUCCAGAUUGAGUUUAGGCUGAGCCUAAUUUAAGUCAAUGCAAAAUGUGUUUUUUUCCCUUAGCCUAUCCAAGUUUUGCUGCCCAUAGACUAAAUGGUUUCUGUAUCCUUCAUGUGUUGUUGUUACUUCGGGGGAAUUUUGUUUUAGAAAUGUGUUUUUGAAAAAUAAUGAAUUGCAUUUUUGCAACUUUAAUAAUCAGGCAUUGAAUAGAUAACCAAAUAACCAGUCAUGUUUUGAGGCCUAUACAGAUAGUCAAUAAUUUAAAAGUGUGAAACACUGAUUACUAUUUAUUUUUCUAUUCUUAUUGUAUUGCCACCUGAUUGUUCAGAUUCAUAAGAGGGAACUAGUGAGGAAGACAAGGAUUGAUAACAGCAGCAAUAAAAUUUGAAUAGUAGCUCUUGUGAGGAGGCAGAGGAGGGAGCAAACCAGAGCGAAUUAGGGAAAAUGUUUAGGUUGAAUAUAUAGAAGUACUUAAAAUGUUUCUGUAAAAGAUGUAGUGGUUUCACUGUACAUAUUGUAUUGUAUGUGUCUGUUUGCAAUAAUACCUAAUGUGAUGUGCGUUAGUAAAUGAGAGAAAGGAAGGAACAAGCCCUUUAUUUCUCUCUAAAACAGGAGUUUCUCUUAUUUGUUGUUAUUUGUGUUUUAUGUCUCUGUAGACUAUAUGUUUGAUGUUAUGUGUGACAGGAUUUUGUUGAUAAAUAAUACCAGAAAAGAACUCAGCUGCAGUAGAUUCCUAUCGGAGAUUAAAGUUAUAAAUAAUAUCUAUGUCUAAUAGUAAUAUAGUAAGCAAUGAGAUAGGCAUUGCGAGUUACAACUGUAGCAGUCUUGCUGUUUGCAAAAAAAAAAAAGAGUAUUAUAUUUUCAUGGUUGAAAGAAAAAAAUAGCAUGUCUUUUUUCAUACAGACUUAAUGUCCUAAAUUUGAUAAUACAAGAAGUAAAAAAGUUUGUUCGAUUGAUAUAUAUGGGCUGAACACAGAUGAACCCAUUUUCUUUUUCUUUUCUUUUUUUUUAUAAAAUAGGGAAUCAAUUGUUGGACACUGACAGAGAAAUCAUUAUGUUAGAUUUUAGAUGGAGUUUUGGACCAAAAAGGAAAUUCUGUUACAAAAAUCUCAUGAAAUUCUUAGAUUUAGUUGAUACCUGACAUUUCAGGAAUCCAAAGGAUAUUAUACAUAUAACCAAGAUUAGUUACAUAGAUGAGGAAAGUUUAUUGAAGCUGAGGUGUGGUGAGACCAGAGAGAUAGGUGGCCUUAUUUAAAGCAGUAAAUGGUCUCUACUCUUAACUGUAUAUAAAGAUUGUCUUUUCUUUUUUAACUCGUUAUUAUGUUGUUAUGCCAAUAUGAAAUUUCUAUUUCAUGACUGUUUAUCCCUGUGUUGUGUGAGGUGCAUUGUUUAGCUUUUGUUCUGUUUUGUUUUCUGUUUUUGUGAUGAUGAACUUUAUUUGUGUAUUGGUUGUGUUGUAUGUAAUCACCACCAGCUUACACUGGACUCCAUCUCUAAAUGCAAAAAAGGUGGGAAAAAAAUUAAAGAAAAGAAAAUUAUGAAUAAUCAACAUUAAAAAUGAAAAACAAAAACAGAAAGAAAGAAAGAAAGAAAGAAAGAAAGAAAGAAAGAAAGAAAGAAAGAAAGAAAAAAUGUCCCCACUAGGGGGGGUGGUGGUGGUUGGCUUGAAAAAAAAAAAGAGAGAGAAAAACCCAGCAAUAAGAUAUUUUGUUUAGAAAUGUUUAUAGGCCAUUGUUUAUUCAAACAUAUAUAAACUGUAUGUAAAUAACUAUUGUUCAGUUUUUCCACAUUUUUAAAACUUUGUAUGCAAAACAUGAAAAAAAGUAGCGGAUUAAUUGGUUAUAAAAUGUUUUAAAAGUUGGCACAUGAUAUAUUACAUGAAGGGGGAAAUGUUAAAUUUGUACCCUAAAUGGGCAAUGUAUCUCAGGAGAAACAAUUUGUAAUUUGGAAAAUAAAAGUUAUGUUUUUAUAUAAAAAAUGAAAUUGUAUUAUUUUAGCCUAGAUACAUUAGAAAAUAAGCAACUAAUUAAUCCAAAAUAUGCCUGCUGGUUUAAGGGUUAAAAGAAAAAAAAAGAUGUGCGCAGCGUCCAUGAUGUCCGCAACUGGUUUGUGGCCUU